rnacentral:misc_RNA from 1 species
UGCACAUACUUAUCACAAAAUAAGAGUCUAUAGGCUCCUUUCUUAAUUUGCUUCGAUUUGAAAUCAAACCAACUAAGUGCAUAUCCCUAUUUCUAGAUUGAAAUUUUUUAAUACAUGUGAAAGCAUCCUUAAUGUGCUUACAUACACAUGCUUCUAUUUGAUUACCUCGAGAUCUCUCAUCAGAAAGUCAAAAUCCCUAAUCAAAGAACAACUCUACAAUCAGAUCUGAUCCUCUUGAGUGCAGUUUAAGAAGACACUUGCAGCACAACUGCAUCGAAUCAGGAGCCUUCAGCAGCGGCAGCAGCCUUCUUCUCCUUCUGUUUAUCCCUUUUUUUCUUGUUUUUUAGCGCAUUCUUGCUCAUUUGGUCUGUACUGCUCCCUCCAAACAACUCUGCCUGAACAGCAGCUGCAUUUUUAGCAUGUGGUGGGCGAUAGGCAGCAGGUUUCUGAGCAGGAGGAUUGUCAGAAGCCUUUUUGCUGGAGGUUGCCCCUUUUCCUUGUGGAUUGGUUUCUUCAACCUUUAAUGAAUCAACCGACUUUGCAAGUUCUGCAAUUUCACCAAAUCUAUCUGGUGAUUCUGGUUUCCAAUCAGCCUGGUAUAGCUUGUCAAACAUCUUUUUGAAGUACAAUGAUCCAUUGUAGUGGAAAAUUUUAAUCCCAUUGUCAACUUGUAGUCUCGGUGCUGUAGUCGCAGUCAUGAAGUAGAGUCCAUCAGGGGACCACUCACUAGUCACAGAACAUUCAGCCCUAGUUGUUCCAAGUUGUUUUUUGUUUACAUAGUCCCAAAAUGCCAUAUCACCAGGUAAAUUGCCAAAACCAGCCAAGCAUAGAAAUUUCCCUUUUGGGUUCCAUCUGACAGUAUUGUAAGGUCCUGUCCCAAGCUCCAGUAAAGGUUUGCACUUCUUAUCAAACAAUGUCGCACUCGCCGGCAUGAAUCCAUAAACAACAGCAAACUCUGAACCAGAAUAUGACCACUGAACGUCAUGAACAGGCCCCUCUUUGCGAAGAGGCACAAGCCCUUCAUGGGUCCCAUCAGUUGUAAGGUAAUUCAGCUUGGACUCCCCAUAAUAACUUUGAUUGGUCUUGUCAACAUCUGACUGCACCACAAUGAGAAGCCCAGUAGAACCACGAUUCCAGUUUAGUUGCACUGUAGAACAUCGGAAAAAGCUCCGCCGAGCAACAGGCUGACUUUGCAUAUCUUUACCACAAGGAAAUAUCUGUACACUGGCUGGACUUCCCUUAGACUCUGGAACAAAUGCUGCCACAUGAGACCCUGGAACUAUUGAAAGCUCAAUUGCAGCCACCCCAGGAACUCUUAAUCGAUGUACAAUUCCGUUGGAGAAAUCUCUAGGAUCAAAAAAUUGUAUCUCAUUUGUUCCCAUCCGGCAAGCAACAGCUUCAUCAGAACUGAAUCUGAUUGAAGGCCAUGUAGUUUUGGUCAUGUUCUUUUGAAAUUGAUGAUAUACAGCUUCACCGUUCUCUGUCUUCCACAAGACCACAUUCCUAUCCUGUGGCGUCAACGAUUUCUGAAAUGUCUGAAGGUAAGUCCCACAAGGGGACAAUACAGCAGCAAGAACAUUGGAGACUUGGAAAGAUCUUAUUUCCUUAAAGCUGCUGCAAUCAUAUAUGCUAAUGACAGAUUCAGAUUUCAUCACCAUGAGUUUGGACCCAUCUUCAGUGAAAGUUGCAUUGCUACAGGGAACCCUCUCAAACUUGAUACUAGGUUCACCAUUGCCAAAUGGCGGCCCAUUCCAGACACAGAAUCCUUCUGGCCCCCGAACUAAUAUCUCCAAAGAAGAUGAAGGGUUGACAGCUUCCAUAACUGAUCAACACAAGUACAAGAACAAGUAGAGGCCAACCAGUUGAUGAAAGUAUAACUGCAAAAGCCAGAGACAGCAAGCGGGUGUCGUACAAUUGGAAAGUACAGCAGAGCAAGAUACUGAACGUCCGAACUUAAGUCGGCAAGAAUCGUAUUCUUCUCCUAAAGUGCUCACCAGCGAUGGAAUUACGACGGCGGAAAUUGGACAGGGAUUGCGUUCCAAGUAAAAACGCCGAACGACAAGACCUCAAGAGAAAUGAGAGAAGGCGUAGCUACAGUCACUUUUAAUUAAAA